rnacentral:rRNA from 1 species
GAUGAACGCUGGCGGCGUGCCUAACACAUGCAAGUCGAGCGAUGAAACCGCCUCCGGGCGGACAUGAAGCGGCGAACGGGUGAGUAACACGUGACCGACCUGCCCCCCGCCCAGGGACAGCCCCCCGAAAGGGGGAUUAAUACCUGGUACUCCGGAAGCGGCGCAUGCCGCGUCCGGGAAAGCUUUCGCGGCGGGGGAUGGGGUCGCGGCCCAUCAGGUAGACGGCGGGGCAGAGGCCCACCGUGCCGACGACGGGUAGCCGGGUUGAGAGACCGACCGGCCACAUUGGGACUGAGAUACGGCCCAGACUCCUACGGGAGGCAGCAGUGGGGAAUUUUGCGCAAUGGGGGCAACCCUGACGCAGCAACGCCGCGUGCGGGACGAAGGCGUCCGCGUCGUAAACCGCUUUCAGCGGGGAACACUUCAACGAGGGUACCCGCAGAAGAAGCCCCGGCUAAAUACGUGCCAGCCGCCGCGGUAA